AGUCACCCUGCAGUGACCCGGCCAGUACAGCCAUGCCGGGUCUCAGCUCUGCUCACCCGCGCAGCUCCCAGAAACUUCCCCGGCUUGUCUCCACUGGAAUCGGGAUGGAAGGGAGCCACGGCUGGCUCAGCCCCUCUCGGAGCAGAAAGAGGAAACUUCUGAAAAGAAGAUGGGGGCUGGGGGAGGACAUCAAUCAGCACGGACAACAUGUAUCCUAAAAUUGGAAUGACACAUGGAAGGCGGCACGGCCCCCAAGAGUGACAUGCAAAUUGGUGAAACAUUUCACAUUUUUGGAAUCCAGAAGAUGAUAGAGUGACAUCUUUAAACUGCUGAAAGAAAAAAGCCAAACAAACUGGCCAACCUUUUGGAGGAGAUAGUCUUCAGAAAUGAAGCAUAAACAAAAAUAUCUCCAAACAAAAGCUAAGAAAAUUCAUCACCAGCAGCUCCACCUCCAAGAAACCCCAGAGCAAGUUCUUUGGGCUGAAGGAAAGGGACCCCAGUGGAAGCAUCAAAAUGCAGGAAGGAAUGAAAAACACAGAAAAGGGGAAAUAUUGGGUGAAUAUACAAAAAUGUUAGCUACGUAAGGUAAAAAUAAACGAGUCAAUGCUAAAACGUCUAUCAGUGGUGCCAGGGCGGGAGAGGAACAAUGGAACCAGAACAUUUACCAAAAUAGACCAUAUGCUGGGCCCUAGAGCAAGUCUCAACAGAUUUCAAAGGGCUGAAAUCACAUAAGAGUGUGUUCUCUGACCACAGUGCAAUUAAACAAGAAAUUAAUAACAGAAAGAUAAUUGGAGAAUCCCCAAGUGUUUGGAAAUUAAGCAACAUACUUCUCAAUAACCUCUGGGUCAGAGAAGAAAUCACAGUGGAAAUUAGGAAAUACUUUGAACUGAGUGAUGAUGAAAAUAAACAUUGAAACUUGUGGGAAGUGGCUAAAAAAAUGCUUAAGUGGAGACUUUUAGCUUAAAAUGCAUGUAUUAGGAAAUAAGAAGGAUGAAAAUCAAUGAUCUAAGUUUCUGUCUCCUAAAACUAAAAAAACAAAAACCCCAAAACCGAGUAAAUUAAGCCUAAAGAAAGUGAAAGGUAACAAAGACUUGGAACCAACCCUAAUGUUCAUCAAUGAUAGACUGGAUUAAGAAAAUGUGGCACAUAUACACCAUGGAAUACUAUGCAGCCAUAAAAAAGGAUGAGUUCAUGUCCUUUGCAGGGACAUGGAUGAAGCUGGAAACCAUCAUUCUCAGCAAACUAUCACAAGGACUGAAAACCAAACACUGCAUGUUCUCACUCAUAGGUGGGAAUUGAACAAUGAGAUCACUUGGACACAGGGCGGGGAGCAUCAAACACCGGGGCCUGUCAGGGGGUGGGGGGCUGGUGGGGGAGAGCAUUAGGAGAAAUACCUAAUGUAAAUGAUGAGUUGAUGGUUGCAGCAAACCAACAUGGCACAUGUAUACCUAUGUAUCGAACCUGCACAUUGUGCACAUGUACCCUAGAACUUAGAGUAUAAUAAAAAAAGAAAGAAAGAAAGUGAAAGGAAGAAUGUAAUCAAGACAGGAGUAGAAAUUAAUGAAUUAAUUGGGAGCAAUAGAGAAAAUAAAACCCAGGUAGGUGUUUGAAAAGAUUAAUAAAAGAUUAGUAAAAUGGACAGGCUCAGGUGCAGUGGCUCAUGCCUGUAAUCCCAACACUCUGGGAGGCCAAGGUAGGAGGAUCACUUGACCCAAGGAGUUUGACAUCAGCCUGGGCAACAUAAUGAGACUCCAACUCUACAAAAAUUUUAAAAAAAAUAGCUGGGCAUGGUGGUGGAUGCCUGUAUUCCCAGCAACUUGGGAGGCUUAGAUGGGAGGAUAACUUGAGCCCAGGAGGUUGAGGCUGCAGUGAGCAGUGAUCACACUGUUAUGGGACCUUUGGGGUGUUAAUUUUCUGGCCGGAAACCUCUGUGGUCAUGGCACCUUUGCCUGAGCUCUUGUCCUGCAUCCAGAAAGAAUGAGGUACACAGACAAAUGAAGGAUGAAUAAGAUAAAGAUGAGCUUUACUGAGUGUUAUAACAGCUCAGGCCCACAGUGGGUAGCUCCUCUCUGUAGGCAGGUCAUUGAGUGUUCCAUUCGCAGCAGAGAGGAGGCCCUGGAGAGGGUACUCCUCUCUGUAACUGGUCAUCCUGAUGUCUGCAGCUCUCAGCAGAGAGGAGGCCCUGGAAAGGCUGGCUCCUCUCUGCCAGCAGGCCAUCUCUGUAGCUCUCAGCAGAGAGGGUAGUUCCUCUCUGGAGCUGGUUGUUCCAUCAUCUCCAAAGGGUAGCUCUUCUCUGCAGCUGGCCAACGUGUUGUCUCUCUGCCCUCUUCGUCCUCUGACCAUCCUCUACCCUGUUCUGGCAGAGCCCAGGGCUUUUAUGGACUUCAGAGGGGAGGAAGUUCAUGCCGACUGGUCAAUGGAUGGCCAUGGAUGGGCCCAGAAGAGGCACCCAAGUCCCCAUUCUGGUCUGUGGGACUGACAGCCUGGCCUCCAGCCUUCGGGCUCUCCUCAGCCUGAGGGUGGGGCCUUACUGGGGACCCACCUGCUUCUACCCACUAAUCUGUCUGCCUCCCACUGCCAUUCAUAGUCCCAAGGCUUGGCCCCAACCCCAUUCCAAGAUCAGAGCGGGUACUGGAGCAGAGAGAGGCCAGACAGUGAGAGCAGACAUUCUGGAGCCAGCAGGGAUGGGGUGAGGGCCUCUCCUGGGCCCUCGAGGGUGUAGGCUGCAGAGACAUCCAGGUCCUGCACCUGGGAGGGUGGCUGCAGAAGCACCUGGGGAGCUCCCGUCCCAACUCAGAAGGGGCAGGGCCUCCACUGGCUCCAUGGAGUGUGCAGCCCCAGCCGUGCCCCCUGCUAUAGCUGGCAUGGUGGCAGCAGCCGCUAUCGACACCACUGCACGGCAGCCUGGGUGACAGAGCAAGACUUUUGUCUCAAAAAUAAAAUACAAUAAAAUAGACAAUUCCAUCAAUAAUGACCAAGAGGGAAAAAAAUAGGAAAAACUCACGUUUUUAAAAUUCUAAUAUCAGAUAUAAAACGAGGCCCUCACUGUGGUAGAGGCUAAUGAUAUUGUAAAUGUAACAAGAGGAUAUUACAAACAAUUUUGUGCCAAUAAAAGUGAAAACCUAGAUGAAAUGGACACAUUCUUUAAAAACUACAAUUUAGCGGCUGGGCAUGAUGGCUCAAGCCUGUAAUCCCAGCACUUUGAGAGGUCGAGACGGGCGGAUCACCUGAAGUCGGGAGUUAGAGACCAGCCUGACCAACAUGGAGAAACCCCGUCUCGACUAAAAAUACAAAAUUAGCCAGGUGUGAUGGCGCAUGCCUGUAAUCCCAGCUACCCAGGAAGCUGAGGCAAGAGAAUCGUUUGAAACCGGGAGGUGGAGGUUGGAGGUUGUUGUGAGCCAAGAUCGUGCCAUUGCACUCCAGCCUGGGCGACAAGAGCAAAGUUCCGUCUCAAAACAAACAAACAAACAAAAAACCCCUACAAUUUAGCAAAACUGAUACAAGAUUAAGUAGAAAAUCCAAAGAAUCAUCUACUGUUAAAAACAAUUAAAUCUGUAAUUUAAACCCUUCUCACAAAGAAAACUCCAGACUCAGGUGGUUUCACUGGUAAUUUUCCAAACAUUUAAGAAAUAAUACUUAUCUUAUGCAAACUCAGAAACAGAACACAGGAAAUAAAAAAGGAACAUCCCCCCCCAACUCAUUUUAUGAGGCCAGAAAAAUUCUGAUAUUACAGCUAGGCACAAAUCUUACAUAAGAGAUAUUUACAGACUGAUAUGGUUUGGCUGUGUCCCCAUCCAAAUCUCAUCUCAAAUUGUAAUCCAAAUUGUAAUCUCCAUGUGUCAAGGAAGGGACCUGGUGGGAGGUGAUUGGAUAAUGAGGGGGUUUUCCCCCAUGCAGUUCUCGUGAUAGUAAGCGAGUUCUCAUGAGAUCUGGUUGUUUGAUGAGUGUCUGGCACUUCCCCCUUCGCUCUCUCUCCUGCCACCUUGUAAAGAAGGUACAUGCUUCUCCUUUGCCUUCUGCCAUGAUUUUAAGUUUCCUGAAGCCUCCUCAGCCAUGCUGAACUGUAAGUCAAUUAAACCUCUUUCCUUUAUAAAUUACCCAGUCUCAGGUAGUGUCUUUAUAGCAGUGUUAGAAUGGACUAAUACACAGACUUAUAUCUGUCAUGAAUAU
rnacentral:lncRNA from 1 species